UUCUCUUAGAAUUUGGAGUUGGCGGGUUGGUUUCAAAAUUAAAAACCAAAUUCUUUUACUAGAGGCGUUCAAAAGCGCUAUUUUAUUCUCACAUAAUUUAUACCCAAAAAGAAAAUAUAAUCCUUAGUUCACCCUCUUCUUAUCUUCAUCGUCCUCUUCCCUUACUCUUCUUCUCGCCAGCAGAACCCUUUUGCUUCAUGGUCUAUCACUGAGCUACUAUGCGCGUUGAAGAAGGGGGACGUUGUGGAGCUAACCCAGGUUAUGGGAAAGGCUUCGAGAUUGAUUAGAUCGAACCGCUGGAGAAUUAUCCUACGGUUCUAAUUUUCACAACGGGAUAUGGAAUCAGGUCUCUGAUUGAAUUAGGGUUUAAUGUUGAUAAGGGAUUUGACGUGAAGCUCUUCUAUGGGGCCAGAAACCUUGACAGAAUGGCUUAUCCGUGCUAAGAAUGCUGGGAGUGAAGGCGUGGAGAUAAAGAAACCAUAGCAGCUCAAAACCGUGGCCUCACUCAUAAUCCCUGAAGGAGAGAGCACCACCAUGGCUAAGCUCAUAGAGUACCACAACCUGGUCUCUCUAUCACUCACCCAAACAGUCUCUAUUAUUUGUUGAUUUGUUUAAAGCUUUUUACUUAAUUACUCCUGGGCUCAAUAUGUAUAUGCCUACUUCUACAACAGUCGAUAUUUUUUUUGGCAUAUUACAGAGUCAACAUUCUUUGUUGUUUUCUUUCCAUUGCACCUAACUUCAAGUUUUGUAUACCAGUCCAAUACUCAUCUUAUUGCUGUGCUAGUUUUGUUUCCUGAUGUUGCUCUUUGUGCGGCUAUUGUAGCUAAUCUCAACAUGAAGAGUGGUAAGAAACUGAGAACUUUUAAUGUUUUUUUUUCCUCUGUUUGUCGCCAUUAUUGACUACUUUGCAAUUGGAUGUUAUUGUUUUUUUUUAACUUCAGAGUUCGGAAGUGUUGGCUUAUCUCUGAAUACUAUGUAUUGUACUCUGAAUAGCUUGCUAAGAGAUUGGAUUAGAUUGGGUUUUUUCUCUCUCUUUUUUUAACUGUACUAAUUUUGGAAAAUAUUUUAACUUGCGAAACAUCCCAAUCAGACAUUUACGCAGUGAUGAAGAGGAGGCUGGUUGUGAUUGGCAAGUUGCUGGUUUUGUGUCUUCCACAUGAUUUUUUUUUUUGGCCAAAAUCAUUCACAUAGGAUUGGAAUUUGAAUACCAUGAUCAAGAACAAACAAAGAGGCGGGGACAUGAACCAAAACCCCUCAACCAAAAACAGAUGGCAUAAAGCCAAAUGAGCAAAAAGCCAUAAGGCGAAUACAAAGUAAUAACAUGAAGCUUGAAAUAUGUAAAGCAUGCUUAGAUCAAAGGUUCAAUCUUACAGUUUGCGUCCUACUUUAGAUAGGAUAAUGAGCAUGCAUGCUAAUAGCUUGUCAAAAAGCUUAGAUUAGAUAGGUUUUUCCUUUGUUUAUCUCUUUUCUGUUCCUAUUUUGUUUGAGAAUGCUACAACUUAUGCACUUCCCAUCCAUAAAUGAUCCCUGUUAUAAAGACAAGGCUGGUUGUGAUGGUAGGUUCCUAGUCUUGUUCUUCGCAUGUGCUUGAACUUUGAAGACCAUGAUCACUUUUUGUCCUGUGCUACUCAUUGCUUUAAGCUUAUGAAUUUGCAUCUGCAUCACCAUGUUCAGCCUACUUCGAAUAGAUGCAGCUGAAGUAUUUGUCUUUUAAAGUUUGUCCUUAAGGAGUGUUUGACUAAAUCACACCCAAAAUUCUUACUAUAAAUGUUGAGCCCUACAGUUGAACCAAACUUGAAUACAUUACUAACAUUACUGUUUUGGACCUUGUAGAAUGCAUUUGAGCUCGCCUUCUUCAUUUGGGUUCCAGUAUGUAAAGAUGGUGUGGCUGUGAUCAGGGUUAUCAAUAAAUGAUUGUCAGUGGGUAUGAUGGUGUAGAAUUUUAAUUGAAUUAUAUGUGAAUGCAGAGAUGGCAUCUAAGAAUCCGAAAAGAGGAAUAAAACGGUUCUUAGAGCAAUCUGCUGCUGAGAAGGUUAAUGAGAGAAAAUCUGAAUGUGAUCAUGCCAGGUCAAAGAGGUUGAAAACAAGUGAGUAUGGAUUUUACGUUUUGUUAAAUAUUGGCAUUUAUAGAUAAUGAGGAAAGAUAAUUGAUUGUGUGGAAGUAUGAAGACCAGCAAUAUCUUGAUGCCUCUUCUAGAAUACAGACUAUGGUCUCGCAUAAGCAACCACUCUCUCUAAGGUGGGUGUCCUUCUUCACAAUUGCUGGUGUUGUUUUGAAAUUGAAGCUUGCAUCACCUAGACAGUAAGAGACCUUACAUGUCAACUAUCAACAUAUGCAUUCCUCCAACCACUAGUCUGCAGGUGGGCAAUUUGGACUUACUGUGUUCAGUGGAGGCCUGCAGACAGAAUCAAGAAGAGUAGUACAUAGUGGAGAGAUGGGUUCAGCCUUGGCAACAACGGGAUCAAAUGUGUAUGAUUGAAGAAUGGUGAAGAGGGCCAUCAUAUUAGAGGUAGAUAUAUCAAAGCACAUCAAUUACAACCGUUAUAUGUGACAGAGUUGCAAAAGCUUGUCCAUCUUUCUCUUGGAUUUUGUUGUCAUGGAAGUACUGAAAUUGUUAGGCUUUUAAAUUAGUUUUUUAAGGGACAUGUAUUUGUAAACAUGAUCAAUAAGUGAUAAUGUGGAUUGUCUUCAGCAAUACAAUGUAUUUAGUUUAAUAUAGUUUCUACUAUAUAGAAGUUUGAUCA